UUGUACACGAGUUCUUUUAUUUUGCUAUUGUCAACACUGAAAGCACCUAGCAAUGUAUUGAGGAUGUGAGACAGGAUAUGUGUUUUACAUUUCUUCAUGCUCCUAUGUAGAACAACUUGUCAGAUGGUGCAUUGGAGACUGAUGUGUUCCUGUUCUGUCUUUUCACAAUACUAUUGCAGGUAUGGUUCUAUUGUCUAGGAAUUAAGAUGAUACAUUCUCUGUAUUAAGGACUGGUUAUUAUUUUAUAGUAUGCAUUAUUGCUUUAUGUAUAAGUGUGAUUGUGUGAGUCUGAGAAAACACUGAGAGAGAAAGAACAACUUGUCAGAUGGUGCAUUGGAGACUGAUGUGUUCCUGUCCUGUCUUUUCACAAUACUAUUGCAGAUCAACAUAAAAUCCUGAAAGACAGCCGUGGUAUCGCUCUUCAUUUCUUGGUUCUCCUGUGGUACAUAAGAAACCCGCUACAUAAGCACGAUUGAAUAUAACAUCAUAAAAGAUCAGCCUCAAUUCGUUGGGGCAUGGAUUCUACAAAGGGUCAAAAGCAUUCCACUGGGGUGCUGGUCCAUAUACUGUACAUGAUUCAUCAAGCCCUUCUCUGCCAAGGCAGAGUUAGAGGAAGAUGGCCGUGACAAUUAAAUAAAUACGUGAAUGUCAUGCAACGUCAGACCGUCUAACACCAAUAUAACUUUUGUUGAGCAAGCAAAUAUCGCCAUCAAGUUGACAUACAUCAAUUCACUUUUAUUCAUUUACAUUAUUUCUACUAUAAUAUAACGCUCCAUAAUGAAUAUCUUAAUACUGCACUAUGGAUAUCAUUAUAUACCCUUAUUGAAGUCAUAAAAUGACUAAGCCUAGUUCAUACCCUUCGUGUGCAACACAAGAACGCUUCACAAAAUGCUGAUCCUGCGUUCUUUUGUAGAGCUUUUUUUGUGUAGCUGCUUGUAGUUAUUUCUUGUGUACGUAUGUAGGGUAUAAACUACACUUUAGUCCCAUGUCAUCAAAUGAAUACCUAAA